AGGAGCAACUUUAAGGAAUAGUUCCAGUAGCUUAAGCAAAAUACAUCCUUAUUGGGUUAAAAUAUUCCAGUUCAAUUAUUUCAAACAUAAUAGCUUUGCUAAAGAGUAUCAAGUUCAAACUUCUCAAAAUUGAGUUUUAAUUUUUCUCACAUUUUAAUAGCAAACAGAAUAUUUCAAAUAAAAAUACAAGCUCUGUAAAAUUAGCAUGUUUGAUGUCUUAGGUACAUAUGAUUAUUAUAAAAUUUAAAAUAGGUGCUCAAAGAAGAGACUUUUUCCUAUCUGAACAUUUCCCCAAGUUUAGAAAACAAAGCUCACUAUUAUUAAUUAAUUAGAUCUAAAGUAGGCUAAUACUUCAUUUACUCAUACAUGGAAUCAUUUCAAAAUUUGUAGCAACACUAGCCCUUAAAAAAUUCUCAAUAUUAUUAUAGACCAAAAUAUGUAUCCUGGUAAAGACUGAAUUAAAUUCAAUUGUUGCUUGGUUAUGAAUAAUUGAAGGAAUAUUAUUUUUAAAGUACUCGUUUUGAAACAAAACCCCAAGCUGCUGAUCUGACUUUAACCAAAUUACCAACACAUCAAUAGGUAACUUGGUACCCAUGCUUUCAGAAGCUCAUCCGUGGCACUGGACAUCACUCACUGAAUCAAAAUGAGAAAUAUAUCAAUAUCAUAAUCCAGUUUUUGAAAUCUAGUGAGUCUUAAGAUUAAGGCUAAUACAUUCAACAACCACACCUCAUAAGCCAGGAGUUCAAAUCAUGUUUAUACACAGUUAAACUGUAUACAGAAUAGAAGACAUAUAAUUAACCACUAAAGCUGGCAGUCUCCAAACAAGAGGUGAAUGUGUUACCUCCGAGUUUAUGAUUCAUUAUUAUCACAACUGACAGCUAGCUUUCCACUGACCCACAC
rnacentral:lncRNA from 1 species